rnacentral:ncRNA from 2 species
AACUUAUCAAGAGUGGCGGAGGGACUGGCCCUAUGAAGCCCAGCAACCUAUAUAAAAAUGUGGUGCUAAUUCCAGGUAGAUAAGGA